GAUGAAGAACGUAGCGAAAUGCGAUAAGUAAUGUGAAUUGCAGAAUUCAGUGAAUCAUCGAAUCUUUGAACGCAUCUUGCGCUCCUUGGUAUUCUGAGGAGCAUGCCUGUUUGAGUGUCAUUAAAUUCUCAACUACACUGACUUUGAAUUGGUGUGGCUUGGAUUUGGGGGGAAAAUUGUUGUGGGCUUUUUGUAUAGUCUGCUCCCCUGAAAUUGAUUAGCGGUACCUUUGUGGAACUGUCUACAGGUGUGAUAAUUAUCUACAUCUUAGACAUCUGCUGGAAUGCUGCUUUCUAAACCUUACUUGUAUUGACAAUCUUGACCUCAAAUCAGGUAGUACUACCCGCUGAACUUAAGCAUAUCAAUAAGCGGAGGA
rnacentral:misc_RNA from 1 species